UACUGAAAACAUGUAAAUGCUUUUGUACGUCAUUAUGUCAAACGCGGUUACAGUGAAUCACGAUUAAAGGAAAUAGCAAAUGAAAUAUCUAAGAUUUGCAAAGAUAGUCAAACCUACAUGCAUAAUUUUAGCAAACACAAUACAACAUAUGACAUAAUUCCUUUAGUGAUUAACUGGCACCGACAUUUCGCUGGCAUUUCAGAAGUAUUGCAUGAAAGUUACCAGCAUGUGGCGAAAAAAUAUCCUCGUUUCAAACAGAUAUAUCCUCAGCCGCCUAUUGUAGCCUUUAGACGGAAUAAGAAUAUAAGAUAAUUAUUUACCUCUAUAUCUGACUACAAGAAAACGAACAUUGGUGUAUCUGCACGCUGUACCUUAAAGAACAGCUGGAAGAGAGGUAAGCCCUGUUCAUUGUGCAACAACAUGAGUGAAGUGAAUUCCAUCAGAAAUCAUAACAGAAAUGUUAUGAUUUAUACAGAAGGGAAAUCGGAAGAG